rnacentral:rRNA from 1 species
UACGUAGGGUGCAGGCGUUAAUCGGAAUUACUGGGCGUAAAGGGCUCGUAGGCGGCCAACUAAGUCAGACGUGAAAUCCCUCGGCUUAACCGGGGAACUGCGUCUGAUACUGGAUGGCUUGAGAUUGGGAGAGGGAUGCGGAAUUCCAGGUGUAGCGGUGAAAUGCGUAGAUAUCUGGAGGAACACCGGUGGCGAAGGCGGCAUCCUGGACCAACACUGACGCUGAGACGCGAAAGCGUGGGUAGCAAACAGG